CCGGCCUUGGCCGUGCUCGCCCGGGGCUGCGGGAGGGCUGCGGGAGGGCUGCGGGAGGGCUGCGGGAGAGCUGCGCCGACUUCCCUGCUCCCGGGCCCUGCUCUCCUCUCCCGGCUCCUUUCCCCUUCUCCCGGCUCCUUUUCCCUUCUCCCUUCUCCUUUCCCCGCUCCUUUUCCGUGCUUUCCUCCCCGCUCCUUUUCCCCUGCUCCUUUNNNNNNNNNNUUCCGUGCUUUCCUCCCCGCUCCUUUUCCCCUGCUCCUUUUCCCCCCCCCCCCCUCCCCCCCCGUUCUCCCCCUUUCCCGGCUCCUCUCCCCGCCCGUUCUCCCCGUUUCCCCGCUCCUUUCCCCGCCCGUUCUCCCCGUUUCCCCGCUUCUCUCCCCGCCCGUUCUCCCCGUUUCCCUGCCCUUUUUCCCGGCUUUUUCCAGCCCCUCCUUUCCCCUUUUCCCGGCCUUUCCCGGCCCAGCCUGCCCCGCUCGCGGCUUGUCGGUCCCGCUCUGUGCCCUGCCACCUUCCCGGUGUCCCAAUGUCUCUUUUCGUGCCCUUUCACCUUCCCAGUGUCCCUUUUCCUGCCCUUCUUUCUUUAUUCCUUUCCUUUAUUCCUUUCCUUAUUCCUCUCUUUAUUCUUUUCCUUAUUCCUUGAUUCUUUAUUCCUUUCCUUUACUCCUUUACUUUAUUCUUUUACUUUAUUCCUCUCCUUAUUCCUCUCCUUAUUCCUCUCCUUAUUCUUCUCCUUAUUCCUCUCCUUAUUCCUCUCUUUAUUCAUUGAUUUAUAUCGAAUUCUUUAUUCCUUUUCAUUAUUCCUUUUCUUUACUCCUUUCUUUACUCCUUUAUUCCUUUACUCCUUUAUUCCUUUGUUCCUUUACUUUAUUCCUUUCCUUAUCCCUUGAUUUAUAUAGAAUUCCUUAUUCCUUUCCUUAUUCCUUUCCUUCAUUCCUUUCCUUUAUUCCUUUCUUUACUCCUUUACUUUACUCCUUUACUUUAUUCCCUUCCUUAUUCCUUGAUUUAUAUAAAAUUCUUUAUUCCUUUCCUCUAUUCCUUUCCUUUACUCCUUUCCUUUACUCUUUUCCUUAUUCCUGUCUUUAUUCCCUUCCUUAUUCCUUGAUUUAUGUCAAAUUAUUUAUCCCUUGAUCUAUAUCAAAUUCUUCAUCCCUUGAUUUAUAUUGAAUUCUUUAUNNNNNNNNNNUGCUGCCGCUGCCCAGGGUGGCCUCGGUGGCCGGGGGCGAGCUGCCGUAGGUGGCCUCGGGCAGUGGCACCGGGCUCUGCGGGGACACGCGGGGGUCAGGGACAGCCACCCUCGGGACCCCUGGGGACAUUUGGGGCNNNNNNNNNNGGGGGGUCAGGGACAGC
rnacentral:lncRNA from 1 species